UUCCUUUUUUUGAAAAUUCCAAUUUUACCCUUAAGACUUUUCUUCACCAUCGUUUUUGAUCCCAAUCUUCUUCUUCCUUUUGCUUCCUUCUCUCUCAAACCUCAAAAAAGAUCUUCUUCUUCUUCGUCUCUGUGUAUUUUAGUGAUGAAUCGAGACUAACAAAAUCGAUUCUCAUCACUCUGAUUCGAAGCCAUUGUAAAAGGAACCAGCUUCUCAGUCGCACAAAAGAGAUGCUUGGUUUGGAAGCAAGUUCUCAAGAAUUGGUUGAAUUCGUGUUGUUUCGCCAUUUUUAGCUCGUUUUAAGACUAGUUUUAGUAUGUUGAAGAGAUGCAAUUAGAGCCUAGUGAUGAUGAUUAUAGGAAGGAACAUAUAUUAUUCGAUGAAUCAACAUCCUCAAACGAAAUCGUAGUCUUGGAAAGAGGGGAUCGUGUUGUGGAGGAAGGACAAGUUUCAGAAAUAGCUGAGAGUGGUGAUGAUGAUGAUGAUGAUGACGAAACUACACUUCUCGUUUCUGGAGAUCAACCACAAUGUAGAAUUUGCCUUGAUGUUGGAGGGGAAGAUCUGAUUGCUCCGUGCAAUUGUAAAGGUACUCAGAAGCACGUUCACAGAUCUUGUCUCGAUAAUUGGCGCUCCACCAAGGAAGGUUUUGCAUUUUCGCAUUGUACAGAGUGUAGAGCCUUCUUCAAACUCCGAGCCAAUGUGCCUGCUGAUAGAUGGUGGUUGAGAUUAAGAUUCCAGAUGCUGGUUGCUAGAGAUCAUGCAUUCAUCUUCAUUUCUGUCCAGAUGAUUGUAGCAUUCUUGGGGUUACUAGUAUACAAGUUCUAUGGUGAAGAACUACGAGAAAUGUUUGGUUAUGAGGAACAUCCUUAUGGGUUCUACACAUUGGCUGUUUUGGCCAUUGUCAUGGUAGGACUGCUUUACGGGUUCUUCAUUGCCAUUAUAUGUGGUCAGAGGAUCAACGAGCGGCAUUACCAUGUUCUUGCCAAACAAGAACUUACAAAGGAAUAUAUAGUGGAAGACCGCGACUGCAAGAAUGUUCCUGAGCUUGACCAAAGUCAUGUGAUGGAACUAAAAAUGUUGGGACUUUAUUGAACAUAUAGUACAAGAGUAGAGCUGGCCGGAUCUUUACUCUUCAUGUCACCUAUGAAAAUAUUUAUCUGUAUGAUUAUACUUGUUGUCAUCUCCACCACAACACAGACAUCAUCUCGCUGGAAUCGUUUUAUAAUCAAUACUCGGGCCCAAGAUGACCUGUAUGUAAUGGGCUCUCUCGUCUUAACUAUUGAAGCAUUCACAAUAACAA